rnacentral:sRNA from 1 species
UCUCGCUCUAAUAACCAUGCACAUGGGUGAUGAUUUAUUUUGGGUAUUAGUAGUCCAAAAAUUAUAUUUUAAUUGAUCAAACUAUGAAUUUGGUCCUAAUUUAUAUCAACGGACUGAUAUCUUUAAUACUUAGAUCAGGUGACGUGACAACAUACGGUUGGUCAGUAUUUUCGCUUUAAUAAAAAAAAGAUAAACAAAAUUU